UCGCGCUACUGGUCGGGUGCGUCGAGUAUGUGGGACGUUUAACACGAACCAACGAGAAUAAUCUAUCAAUAAGAACUCAAUAAGAAGAGAAAAGAAACCUGAACUAGAACAUAAACCUGACCGGAGGGAAAACGAUUGACAGGACUAACGUUAAAUCGAAUGGAUUGAAGACAUCCAGAAGACAAAACUUCAAACAGAACUGCAACUUUCUGAACUGCCUGUACUGCAUCGAAUGCUGGCUUCGGUCAGGUUUUUUAUAGUGGAUAAAAGAUCUGAAUUGAUGGCGAGCCUCCCAGAAUCCCGAAUCUGAACUUCCCUUCACCUUUCAUUUCCCUUCACACCACUGUGGUAGGACUGUAAGACUGACCCAGACUGACCUUUUGACUAUUCCCUGACUUAACCUCCUGAUAACUUCUGAAUGAACUGAAUUAAUUGAUUGUGACACAUUGAUCGUUGAUAUUGAUAAUACAUUUUGUUGAAUUGAUACACAUACAUACUAUAAUACACUGAAUAUUUAUUGUAUAUAUUUUUAUUUUCUUGUACCAUUGAAAGAUCACAUUGAAUAUUUUAGAACUUAGGUAAGAUAAGGGUGCACCCGAAUAUAGAACCGUAUAUAGAACAUCUGAUGUUGUUAUUUAUUGCACUGCACUUUGUAUUCUAUUUAUUUCAAUCUAUUCAUUGUACUUAUUGUUAUUUAUACCAUUUUAUUCAUUCACUCCUUUUACUUAUUAAAUGUCAUCAUUAUUCUAACAUAAACUUUAGCUUGUUGCAUCCAUCUACCUCCAGUAGUCUUAUCUAGAAACUUCUGAUUCUGGUCCAAGUAACUAGACAUAACCUAGAAUAUAGUAAAUUGAGCCGAGUGCUACAUAUGCAAAUAACAUACGGUUAAUGGUCGUUCUAAAUUACGUAGGACAAUAGGAAAUUCAACCAAGCAGUGGAAUAAAUGCAAAAUA